GAAUGUUUGUUCUUCCUUGUCGCCCUUAUGCCUGUGCCCACAAAGUAUACAAAUGACCACGUAGGCUACACAUACAGGCCCGAGUUUUAUUGGGUCUCAUUCGAAAUACUGCUGCGAAUGCAGAAGGAAAUAAAUUCUACAUAGUAAUCGAUGCUGAUAGGAUGUCAUGCUGUUGUUUAAAUUGUACGUGUCCGUGCGAACGAAUGAUAAGCACUGAUGAAUUCCGACAAGAGACGGUCAACGGGCGUCAAUUGUACACGGAAGACAGCGCCCAAACCGUUGAAAGUACUAGGAUGGAUAUUGCGCUUCUGAAAGAGCAAUAUAACUCGAUUAAAGAGAAACAAAGACAGGAGACCCGCGUUGUUGUCUUCAAGAACGCAUCAAACAAUGAAGAGACCGUUGGUAAAUCCCCUGUCAGUGUGGUUCCCAUGCACCAAGAGGUGAGGAGGAGGCCGCUUCAAAGGCAACAGUCUUUGCGGGAAGCCCAGUCUGACAUUUUCCAGGAUCAAGGUAACUCCCUAUGGCGCACACACCUGGGGCUCCACAGGAACAGCUGCACGGUCGAUGGCGCUGGCUGGCUCUGGCACUGGCUCUGGCUCAUACCAUGACCAGGACCCCUCAGCCAUUCAAAGCACUCUGUUUAGAGACUCCUCUUCGGAGAGCACUGAAUCAAGUGAGAAACUGACCUGCGACCCUGAGGAACCUGAGGGCUCUGUGAGCCUGGGCAGUAGCACCAGUGGACAGGAGGAAGGGGAUGGCAAAUUCUCCAGGAAAUUUUCUGCGCCAUCUGUUCUGUCCAGACAGUUGAGCCUGGUCAGGCACCUUCCCUCACCAGCCCAUUCGACCACUCGCCACUACCCAUUCCCACAGGUUAAAUGCCCAAGGAAGUCCGAGGCGGCCAGGAGGCUUGGCAUGUACUCAUCAUUUUAGCCACAAGGUGGAGGGCACAUCAAGCCUGUACAGUAAAACUGCAUGGCAUGACGCUAAGAUGGCUACUGCCUCAGAAUUGCAAUAUCUUAUACACAAUACAAUACAGAAACGUGUGAUCUGGGAAUACUUUGCUGUGAAAUAAAUCUCCCUGCAUAACCACUGAAA